CUUCCCAACGUCAUCUCUUUCUUCCUCUUCUUCUUCUUUCUUCUUUCUUCUCUCUUCCAUCUUUUCCUCUUCUUCUUUUUUAUCUUUUCUUUCUUCCAUCUUUUCCUCUUCUUUUUUAUGUCUUCUGCUAUCUUUGAUUUUGAAAUCCUAUUUUUCUCUCUUCAUUACUUCACUCUGUAUUUCUUCUUCUCCUAAGGAUUCAAACAUUUCAAGAAUGAUAAACGAGGUUACUAAUCGAAAUAGGUGAUACAACGGCGGAUCUGGCAUUUUCAGCGAUUUUACGGUGGUGUGUGGUUUUGCGAUGGUGGAUCUGUCAUAAAGCUCCAAAACUUCUACACAUAUUUUAUGAAUAUAUUAACUGGUAUUUUAUAUGUGCAGAAGUGCUUAACUUUAGAUUUUUAUUUUGUGCUUAUCUUUAGCAUGACUGUUGUAUCACUUCUUCAUUCUCUGAGAAUGUUCACAUUUCAAAGUCGUUGAAUGAUGGACUCUAUGGGAUGCAUCUUCAUGUAUACAACUGGCCCGGGGGAGAACUGAAACAAACACUGGACCUUAGUGAAAAAGGACUUUUACCUUUGGAGAUUGUGAUACAAGUGGAACCAUUGAAAGUGCAAGGUUUCUUCCUGAAAUGCCCGGGCUUAUAACUGAUUUUUUGAUUUCUCUUGAUGACCGCUUUCUGUACUUCGUAAACUGGCUUCACGGCGAUAUAAGACAAUAUAACAUUGAGGACAUCAAAAGUCCUAAACUAACCGGUCAAUUAUGGGUUGGUGGCCUUUUCCAAGAAGGAAGCCAUGUCGUUGCUGUUAAGGACGACGGUGAAACUUUACAAGUUCAUGUUCCAGAGAUUCAGGGAUUUUAAACUUGGUACUCAUGUGUUGUCUUUGUGAAAUAGUCUAUAUGUAUAUAGCACUGCCAUGCCUGCAAGUAGAUAGUUUCAUUGUUUCUAUGAUGAUGUAGGUAAUUGUUAUUUCAUGGGGAUUUUCUAGAAUUUGAUUCUCAUAUUGAUUUUUGUGUUUUAGAUCAAGUAGAACAACUUUGUCUGAAUAGUGUUGCCGAUCAAUACUAAUCUGAAUCAUGACGCUGAUUAUGCUCCACCUGUUGCUUCUCAUGAUACCAUUCCAAUUGAUGCGGAUAUGGAGAUACCUCAUUGGAGUCUUUCGUCGAAUGAGGAGAAGCUGGCUAAAGGGGCACAACAUUGGCAGUUUUUUUUUUAUGAUUAUAAUUUAUAAUGCAGGACACACUGCACUUGCAUUGUGAUCUCGAUCCAUUUGAUUCUAUUGCAACAACUGCAUUGGAUUUUGAAAUGAGUUCAUGGUUGAAAGUGACACUGAUAUUACUGGAUCAAAAACUCUAGGGAUGCAGCCUCUUGCUUCUCAUGCAAAGCAGAUUCGAGAGGAUGUGUCCAAGCUUUCUUCCUUGCGAGAUUUUUGAAAGCAAGUCAGCUUUCUUCCUUGGAUCACCAGUUUUGGAAAGUUCAAGCUGAAACAAUUGAAUCUGCAAUCUUUAUUUCAAUUUGGAGCAACCAAAGCAAUUGAGAGAUAGAAAAGGUUUAUGAACAUGCUCCUUCUCUUUUCAACACGUUUUUACAAAUGGUUCCUCAGGCUGCUCUUCGAUCCACGCAGCUUCUCCGCCUUUCUCACAAAUACUUGAUUCUUUGGAACUCAAACACCCUUUUAUAAGAAAUUGGAUUGACCUACUCUCUUUCUUGCUUGCUGGUGUCAAAUCUGAUAGUAUACUUUCUGCAUAAAUGGUCUGGAGGGUGGCCUUCAUGCUCUGUUAAUAGCGACGGCAAAAUAAACGCAUGUAAUGGCACAUGUGGCUAUGGUUGACGGAAGGAUUCGGUGGACUGGCUGAUCCGACGAUAACGAGUCAAAUGGUGUGUUCAUCGUUCUACCUAAGGGAUGAGUUGCAUCUGAAAAUAGUGAUCAAGGUGUUGAAUGAUGCAGGACUUUCUGUUGAUAAAAUUCCAUUUGAUUUCCCUCACUACUUCAUAUUAUGCGCUAUUAACUUCUCUCUACUUCUUCACUUCUACCAUGGAUAUUCUUCAAAAUAUUUUUGUUUUUGUUCUCUCUACUUCUUCAUCAUAUAGAAACAAGUAUAUGUGUCUUAAUAUGAAUACUUUAUUAUAUAUACUUAAGUCAGUUAUAUGGUUUUCAAUAAUUUAGAGACAUUAAUUUGAAGUAUAUUUGUUGUAACUGGAUAUAUUGACUUUGCAUUUAAAAUCCUAUUUUAAUAGUAUUUUCUUAUGAUUCUUAGAAAAUCAUCUCUUUAAUCCGUGCAGUUUAUAUUCAUAGUUGUAUCUAUGAAAAGCAAUUAGUUUGAAUCGAAAGCUAUUAUUUGAGAAAUCAUAUAACUAGGUCUUUUCGUAUGCAUUGUAAUGUGAAGAUAUUCAUGAAUUUCAUAAUUUUUCCUCUAAUUGUGCUGUGUAUGAGCUUUAUAUUUGAAUGAUCAUUAUGAAAAACUAGCGGGAUACCCGUGCAUUCGCACGGGUACUGGUAUGCACGCGCAUUUGUUCCCAAAAUAUAAUAAAAAUUAAAUUAUUCAAUAAAAAAGUUUAUUAUUUUUAAAAGCGAUAAAAAAUUGGUGUCUAUAAUUAUUUCCAUAUAUACAA